CCUAGGCUGAAAUAACCAGCACUACUUGCCAAACACUUUAGAAAGAUUAUGUUUCUUCUCCAUUACAGAAGUGGAACAUAUGGUUCAGGAAUUUACCCUAAAGGCAAACUACAGAGGUUAAGCAUGUGAUGCAGGGGCCAAAAUUGUGAGUUCAAAUGCCAACAUGUUUACUUACUAACUUCAUGACCUCACAAACUUGCUUCAACUUUCUGUAACUUUGUCUGCUUAUCUAUAAAACAAUACGUACCUCAACGUCUGGUUAAAAGUUUCAAUUGGCAUAAUAUAUAUAAAGCUCUUAGAAGACUGCCUGGAACAGUUUGCAGCAAGAUCCUCCCAGGAAAGUGAAGCGGAGAAAAUGGAGGUAGAAACUAUUCUCCUCAUUAAACUACCUGCCCUCUGUAAUGUAGCUCUUCUGUGCUGCAGAAAUUGAUACUACACAAGAAAAGAAAUGAUGGGAGAAUAGUGAAGAAGAGAAGAACUGGCCAGGUUUCUUUCAUGUCAGAUGGAUUGGAAUGGGACAAGGCACUUUUCAGAUUCAGCUAUGGGGGAAACAAAAGACAGAAGACAAAAGUUCUCACUUCUCAAAGAGCUAAGUUUCUUUAUAAUCUCUUUAUGCUCCAAGAUGUGUGUGUGUUGUGGGGUGGGAGGGGCGGUAUUGUCUCUUUAAUUAAAUACUUUACCAGGUACUUUUUUCCAAGUACUCACAGUUCUAUCUUAAUCAAGUAUCCAAAUCUCUUCUGAAAACUUCAA
rnacentral:lncRNA from 1 species